rnacentral:rRNA from 1 species
GACGAACGCUGGCGGCGUGCCUAAUACAUGCAAGUAGAACGCACAGUUUAUACCGUAGCUUGCUACACCAUAAACUGUGAGUUGCGAACGGGUGAGUAACGCGUAGGUAACCUGCCUGGUAGCGGGGGAUAACUAUUGGAAACGAUAGCUAAUACCGCAUAAUAUUGAUUAUUGCAUGAUAAUUGAUUGAAAGAUGCUAUUGCAUCACUACCAGAUGGACCUGCGUUGUAUUAGCUAGUAGGUGAGGUAACGGCUCACCUAGGCGACGAUACAUAGCCGACCUGAGAGGGUGAUCGGCCACACUGGGACUGAGACACGGCCCAGACUCCUACGGGAGGCAGCAGUAGGGAAUCUUCGGCAAUGGACGAAAGUCUGACCGAGCAACGCCGCGUGAGUGAAGAAGGGUUUCGGAUCGUAAAGCUCUGUUGUAAGAGAAGAACGGGUGUGAGAGUGGAAAGUUCGCACUGUGACGGUAUCUUACCAGAAAGGGACGGCUAACUACGUG